GAAAGAAGUGUGCAUUGUAAUGUGGUGGCACAGUACAGGAGUUUUCAUCCUGUACACCUGUCCGUCCUGUGUGGUGGCUACCCUUUCAGUGUUCCCCUGGGUCCACAUCCCUCCUGAAGACUCUUACUAUCAUGCUGGGCAGCAUUUCAGAAAUAUGGAAGAAAACAUUCUAUGUUGGACAGUGAUUUAUCGAAUAUUGAUUUAAGUAUUCAAGAAACUCCAGGGGUUCAAAAAAAGUCUGUGAAUGAGGCUUGUGCCCCUACUCCAUCUGCAACUAUG